rnacentral:rRNA from 1 species
GAUGAACGCUGGCGGCGUGCCUAAUACAUGCAAGUCGAGCGAACGGACGAGAAGCUUGCUUCUCUGAUGUUAGCGGCGGACGGGUGAGUAACACGUGGAUAACCUACCUAUAAGACUGGGAUAACUUCGGGAAACCGGAGCUAAUACCGGAUAAUAUUUUGAACCGCAUGGUUCAAAAGUGAAAGACGGUCUUGCUGUCACUUAUAGAUGGAUCCGCGCUGCAUUAGCUAGUUGGUAAGGUAACGGCUUACCAAGGCAACGAUGCAUAGCCGACCUGAGAGGGUGAUCGGCCACACUGGAACUGAGACACGGUCCAGACUCCUACGGGAGGCAGCAGUAGGGAAUCUUCCGCAAUGGGCGAAAGCCUGACGGAGCAACGCCGCGUGAGUGAUGAAGGUCUUCGGAUCGUAAAACUCUGUUAUUAGGGAAGAACAUAUGUGUAAGUAACUGUGCACAUCUUGACGAUACCUAAUCAGAAAGCCACGGCUAACUACGUG